CAUUUCGCUCUCUCUUUCCCCGGAUGGACGACAGACAAUAAACCCGGGAUUACUCCAGCAAGUUUGAGCCUCCUGUGUCUAGAUACUUUGAGUCCGUGUUGUAUCCACUCCAGGACCCCCUCCGCCGUCUGUGCCCUGAGACGAGCAGGCUCUCACCACGGAGGGUGGGACAGAGGGGUCCCAUCGAGGAGGAGGAUUACAACAGUCCGCGUUCACAACUGGACCCCUACCCUCAGCUGGACCGGACCUGGAGUCACAGCGAGCCAACUGUGACAAGUGGCACCUGAACAGGGACUCCCGUACUGGAGACAUCUAGGGAUCAGUUCGGCUGGGUCCUGGCCAAACCAGCAGGAUCUCUUCUCUCCACUGUGGAUUAUUUUGUCAGGCCUGACACUUCAGCAACAGACAGCCAUUGGAGAACAACCAGCUGUCUCGGAGGAUACCUGCUAGGAACACAGUUCCAUCUUUACUACCCUGGAAGAAAAGAAGCCAAAUUUAGACUGGUUUCCACCCAAACCAGUGGGACAUGGGGGAGCACUGAGGUGGGCACAGAGAACAAAGGCACCCUGGGGGGAGAAGCAAGAGCAAGAAAAGUUCCAAGGCCACGCUGAUAAGCUGCAAUGAUCGCCGCUCUUAGCACCUGGCCGUGAGAGACUUUUCGUGUAACAUCGCCUGCUUUUGCAAAAAUCGUGCCCUUUUUUCUUCUAUCGGCGAACAACAAGAGAGAUUGAGAGAAAAAA